GUCCCGGUAGUCUAAUGGAUAAGACGGUGGAUUCCGGUUCCACUGAUGCGGGUUCGAUUCCUGCCCGGGACACCA
rnacentral:tRNA from 11 species